UGGGGAAUAUUGCACAAUGGGCGCAAGCCUGAUGCAGCCAUGCCGCGUGUAUGAAGAAGGCCUUCGGGUUGUAAAGUACUUUCAGCGGGGAGGAAGGCGAUAAGGUUAAUAACCUUGUCGAUUGACGUUACCCGCAGAAGAAGCACCGGCUAACUCCGUGCCAGCAGCCGCGGUAAUACGGAGGGUGCAAGCGUUACUCGAAAUUACUGGGCGUAAAGCGCACGCAGGCGGUCUGUCAAGUCGGAUGUGAAAUCCCCGGGCUCAACCUGGGAACUGCAUUCGAAACUGGCAGGCUAGAGUCUUGUAGAGGGGGGUAGAAUUCCAGGUGUAGCGGUGAAAUGCGUAGAGAUCUGGAGGAAUACCGGUGGCGAAGGCGGCCCCCUGGACAAAGACUGACGCUCAGGUGCGAAAGCGUGGGGAGCAAACA
rnacentral:rRNA from 1 species